CCAGGUUCAAUAAUUGCAUGGGUGACCUGACUGGAGGAUGUUUCCCAGGUUCGAUGAUUGCAUGGGUGACCCGACUGGAUGAUGUUUUCCAGGUAGCACAUGUGGCUUAAGUGAUUUUCAGGUUCGGGCUGAUGAGGAGCCGGGUUCAAGUGCCAGAGUUGCAUGACUAUAUCUACCUUGAGAAGCUGAGGGGUCUUGCGGCUCAAAUUUACAUGCAUUCUACUAUUUCUCAUGUAUUGUAUCAUGUAAUUCCUGUAUUUGUUAAUUUUGGAGACAUUGGUUUGUAUAAGUCAUUAUGGGUAACCACUUGUAUAUUCUAAAUGAAAAUUGAAAUUUCCCUUUAUGCU